AUUGAACGCUGGCGGCAGGCUUAACACAUGCAAGUCGAACGAGUGGCGGACGGGUGAGUAAUGCUUGGGAAUCUAGCUUAUGGAGGGGGAUAAAUACGGGAAACUGUAGCUAAUACCGCGUACCAUAGGAUGAGCCCAAGUGGGAUUAGGUAGUAGGUGGGGUAAAGGCUCACCUAGUAGACGAUCUCUAGCUGGUCUGAGAGGAUGAUCAGCCACAUGGUGACUUAGACACGGCCGUGACUCCUACGUGAGGCAUCAUUGGGGAAUAUUGCACAAUGGGCGCAAGCCUGAUGCUGCCAUGCCGCGUGUAUGACGAAGGCCUUAUGGUUGUACAGUACUUUCAGCGGGGAGGCGUUACCCGCAGAAGAAGCACCGGCUAACUCCGUGCCAGCAGCCGCGGUAAUAC
rnacentral:rRNA from 1 species